UUUAAUUUUAAAUCAAUUUUUAACACUAUUUGACUAACAUAUUCAAAGAGGAUUUUUCUCCACAACAAUUCCAAUAGAAAUGCCAUUAAAUAUUUAUAAUUGAUAAAGAAAAGAUAAAUUAGUAUUAUAGUGCCAGUGUUGCAGACAAGAUAUUAGACUUUUGGAGCAACAUGUUAUCUUGCUUUUGUGUUAAGCUGGAUCUAAUUUUUGAAUGAAAACUGAACGCAGUUGAUCAUGUGCUUGUAGAUUGCCAAUGGAUUUUAUGGACAUCUUGACAUUCUCAUUCUUCACUUUAGAUAUCAGUUUUGAUUUCAUCAUAUAAAUAAAAUGCUUAGGGAUAGGUUGCACAAAAUUAGUUUCUGGCGUCAGCAUAAUAUCAUCACUACAAGUGGAUAUUGGUGCAUAAAAAUAAUUCAUACAUUUUCAAUUUGUUUAAAUGGAAAUUAUUUUGAUAGAUAUACUACAGUAGCUGAUUUUAUGGAAAUGCUGUAUGUAUAG
rnacentral:misc_RNA from 1 species